GACGAACGCUGGCGGCGUGCUUAACACAUGCAAGUCGAACGGAAAGGCCCCUUUGGGGGUCCUCGAGUGGCGCACGGGUGAGUAACACGUGAGUAACCUGCCCUUGACUUCGGGAUAACUUCAGGAAACUGGGGCUAAUACCGGAUAGGAAUCCUUGCUGCAUGGUGGGGGUUGGAAAGCUUCGGCGGUUUUGGAUGGACUCGCGGCUUAUCAGCUUGUUGGUGGGGUAGUGGCUUACCAAGGCUUUGACGGGUAGCCGGCCUGAGAGGGCGACCGGCCACAUUGGGACUGAGAGACGGCCCAGACUCCGACGGGAGGCAGCAGGGGGGAAUAUUGCACAAUGGGCGGAAGCCUGAUGCAGCAACGCCGCGUGCGGGAGGACGGCCUUAGGGUUGAAAACCGCUUUCAGCAGGGGCGAAGCUUGUGGUGACGGUACCUGCAGAAGAAGCACCGGCUAACUACGUG
rnacentral:rRNA from 1 species